CGUUUAAGUGUGACCUUUCUUUACAGUUUCAUGUUUACAAAUGUUUUAUGAGUAAAGUUGGUAGCUCCAGAGUCCAGACCAAUGAAGGACAUACGAAGGACUAUCUCAAUCUACAAAACACCAGAAGGACUUUUCUUUUUGCAGAACAGCCCAUCUCGUAACAACCAAAUUGUGUAGUAAUGCAAAAGAGGGGAACUUGAGCGAUCAUUUAUUAAGCAUUGUACCUUUUGUGUUAAUGUCAUAAACUCCUAUGAAUUGUUUCAGAACAUCCAAAUGGUGAACUGUUGCCGAGGCCCACCUGGCUGUCUUAUUAUGCAUAGUUUUGUGAUGUGACCUGGUAUGGAGAGCACUAGCGGUGGCAGAAGACAAGCCCAACUGGAGGUGCUUCUUCCUGGGUGGCACUGAUGCAUUGAUAACAGUAUGGGAGUUGGUGAUUGGUGAGGCGUGAUUGCAGGAUCACUCCAUAUAAAUGUUUACAGUAUUGAGUUGUCAAGCUUGCAGAGCUGCUCAAGAUAACUCCUUAGCACUGUCCGGGGGAACAUGGGGAAAAAAGGUGGCCAGCCUUGUGUUGGAGAUGCAUUCUAUCUUUACACUUUAAUGGUUACAAAAUUCCAGUCAGUGUUUUCCUGUUGCAGGUCUGAUGAACAAAUGGCUGCAUAUUCCUCAAUCUAACAACUAGUGAACUCCAGCCAGGAAAUGAUCCGUCUGCACAGCGGUUCUUUGACCCUCGGAGUCAGAAGCAUUUGUGAGAUCGGAACAUGUGUCUCCAGGAUGAGAUAGCAUCGCUGGCAGGAUCUUUCCCCUGGCGAGGCCCAGAUGGAACUGUUCGGUGAUAAUCAUCCCGUGGACUCGGAUAUGCCCUCCUAAAAUGCCACGUGGUGAUUGUUCCCUGCAGGUUGCACGCGCUGUCAUUAUCCGCCGCCGCGGCUGAUGUGACGUUCUACAAGGGAGCUCUUGCAACGGCACAGCAGGAGGACGCGAGGCCUGAGCAUGGCGACCAGGCGCCUCUACUCCUAGGGUGACCGCAAGGCAUGGCGACAUGGAACGGUAGCUGCUGCGUCAUGCGUGCAGCCGGUCAGGUACAGCGUAGCACUCUGUUUUCAUGUUUUGCAACCAUGAAUCUCAGGGCCGAUUUGGAUGCCUAGUUGUUAUAAGCUACCGAGGCUUGCUCCUCGGUUCUUUUUCAGCUUUCCGGUGGAGAUAUGCUUGCCCCCUAUUACGAGACAGCAGGACAUCCAUGUGCGAUAGAGUA